AUCAGAAAUCUAUUUAGGGAAGCAAAAGCAAAUGCUCCCUGUGUUAUAUUUAUUGAAGAAUUAGAUCUGUUGGUGGGAAGCGAAUUGAGUCUCCAAUGCAUCCAUAUUCAAGGCAGACUGUAAAUCAGCUUCUUGCUGAAAUGGAUGGCUUUAAACCCAG